GAUGAACGCUAGCGGCAGGCCUAAUACAUGCAAGUCGAACGGAUAUAUGUUUUUCGGAAUAUAUAUUAGUGGCGCACGGGUGAGUAACACGUACAUAACUUGCCCUCAAGCGGGGGAUAGCCUUGGGAAACUGAGAGUAAUACCCCAUAGAAUUAUUGGACGGCAUCGUUUGAUAAUUAAAACUACGGUGCUUGGGGAUAGAUGUGCGUCUGAUUGGCUAGUUGGUGAGGUAACUGCUCACCAAGGCGACGAUCAGUAGGGGGCGUGAGAGCGUGGCCCCCCACACGGGUACUGAGACACGGACCCGACUCCUACGGGAGGCAGCAGUAAGGAAUAUUGGUCAAUGGAGGGAACUCUGAACCAGCCAUGCCGCGUGAAGGAUGACGGCCCUCUGGGUUGUAAACUUCUUUUGGAUGGGGCGAAAAAACGGGAUUUAUCCUGGACUGACGGUACCAUCAGAAUAAGCACCGGCUAACUCCGUG
rnacentral:rRNA from 1 species